rnacentral:rRNA from 1 species
AAAUAGCCGCAGUAUAUUGACUGUGCGAAGGUAGCAUAAUCAUUUGUCUUUUAAUUGAAGGCUUGAAUGAAUGGUUUGAUGAGAAAGUAACUUUCUUUAUAUUAAGUGUUGAAUUUAAUUUUUUAGUUAAAAAGCUUAAAUUCAUCAAUGGGACGAGAAGACCCUAUAGAAUUUUAUUAUUAAUUAUGUUAAUUUUAUUUUAGAUAUUAUAUAAAUAAAUAUUUAAUAAUUUUGUUGGGGUGACAGUAGAAUUUUAUUAACUCUUAUAAUUUAUAAUUUUAUUGAUGAUUAUAUUUAAGAUCCUAUUUUAUGGAUAUUUAGAUUAAAUUACCUUAGGGAUAACAGCGUAAUUUCUUCUUAGAGUUCUUAUCGAUGAAGAAGUUUGCGACCUCGAUGUUGGAUUAAAAUUAGAUUUAA